CCUACGGGUGGCAGCAGUGAGGAAUAUUGGUCAAUGGACGCAAGUCUGAACCAGCCAUGCCGCGUGCAGGAAGACGGCUCUAUGAGUUGUAAACUGCUUUUGUACGAGGGUAAACGCAGAUACGUGUAUCUGUCUGAAAGUAUCGUACGAAUAAGGAUCGACUAACUCCGUUCCAGCAGCCGCGGUAAUACGGAGGAUUCAAGCGUUAUCCGGAUUGAUUGGGUUUAAAGGGUGCGUAGGCGGUCGGGUAAGUUAGAGGUGAAAUCCCGAGGCUCAACUUCGGAAUUGCAUCUGAUACUGUUAGGCUAGAGAGUAGUAGCGGUAGGCAGAAUGCAUGGUGUAGCGGUGAAAUGCUUAGAGAUCAUACAGAACACCGAUGGCGAAGGCAGCUUACCAGGCUACUUCUGACGUUGAGGCACGAAAGCGUGGGGAGCAAACAGGAUUAGAUACCCUGGUAGUC
rnacentral:rRNA from 1 species